GACGAACGCUGGCGGCGUGCUUAACACAUGCAAGUCGAACGGAAAGGCCCCUUUUGGGGUACUCGAGUGGCGAACGGGUGAGUAACACGUGAGUAACCUGCCCUUGACUUCGGGAUAACUUCAGGAAACUGGGGCUAAUACCGGAUAGGAAUCCUUGCUGCAUGGUGGGGGUUGGAAAGCUUCGGCGGGUUUGGAUGGACUCGCGGCUUAUCAGCUUGUUGGUGGGGUAGUGGCUUACCAAGGCUUUGACGGGUAGCCGGCCUGAGAGGGCGACCGGCCACAUUGGGACUGAGAUACGGCCCAGACUCCUACGGGAGGCAGCAGUGGGGAAUAUUGCACCAUGGGCGGAAGCCUGAUGCAGCAACGCCGCGUGCGGGAUGACGGCCUUCGGGUUGUAAACCGCUUUCAGCAGGGGCGAAGCUUGUGGUGACGGUACCUGCAGAAGAAGCACCGGCUAACUACGUG
rnacentral:rRNA from 1 species